rnacentral:rRNA from 1 species
CAAGUCGAACGAAGCACCUUGCGCUGAUCGCUUCGGUGUGAAGCAAAAGGUGACUUAUUGGCGAACGGGUGAGUAACACGUGGGUGACCUGCCCCGAACUGCGGCAUAACAUGGGGAAACUCCUGCUAAUCCCACAUGUGCUCCCACCUCUUGUGGUGUGAGUAAAGAUUUAUCGCUUCGGGAUGGGCCUGCGGUCCAUCAGCUAGUUGGUAGGGUAAUGGCCUACCAAGGCGACGACGGGUAGCCGGCCUGAGAGGGUGACCGGCCACACUGGGACUGAGAUACGGCCCAGACUCCUACGGGAGGCAGCAGUGGGGAAUAUUGCACAAUGGGCGCAAGCCUGAUGCAUCGACGCCGCGUGAGGGAUGACGGCCUUCGGGUUGUAAACCUCUUUCAAUAGGGACGAAGCGCAAGUGACGGUACCUAUAGAAGAAGGACCGGCCAACUACGUGCCAGCAGCCGCGGUAAUACUUAUGGUCCGAGCGUUGUCCGGAAUUACUGGGCGUAAAGAGCUCGUACGUGGUUUGUCGCGUUGUUCGUGAAAACUCACAGCUUAACUGUGGGCGUGCGGGCGAUACGGGCAGACUAGAGUACUGCAGGGGAGACUGCAAUUCCUGGUGUAGCGGUGGAAUGCGCAGAU